CAGCGUGUGUCCAGAAGAUUGAACUUCAGAGACUGGCUCUUCAUACAUAUUCCUUGAGUCAUGGGACACAUGGCAGAGCUGCUUCUGGAGAGCAUGUCUGGAUCUCCUGUAUGCAUGGAUGAGCACAGGUGCCCAUCGAGGCCAGAGGCAUCGGAACCACCUGAGGCUGGGCUAUGGGAAGCCCUUUCUACUGGAAUGCAGCCCUAUCACCCACAGGAAAACCUCAGAUGACAAAAGCUGCUUUGGCACCUGGAGUUAGAAUAAAGAUUUCCAGC